rnacentral:rRNA from 1 species
GAUGAACGCUGGCGGCGUGCCUAAUACAUGCAAGUCGAGCGAACAGACGAGGAGCUUGCUCCUCUGACGUUAGCGGCGGACGGGUGAGUAACACGUGGAUAACCUACCUAUAAGACUGGGAUAACUUCGGGAAACCGGAGCUAAUACCGGAUAACAUUUUGAACCGCAUGGUUCAAAAGUGAAAGACGGUCUUGCUGUCACUUAUAGAUGGAUCCGCGCCGCAUUAGCUAGUUGGUAAGGUAACGGCUUACCAAGGCAACGAUGCGUAGCCGACCUGAGAGGGUGAUCGGCCACACUGGAACUGAGACACGGUCCAGACUCCUACGGGAGGCAGCAGUAGGGAAUCUUCCGCAAUGGGCGAAAGCCUGACGGAGCAACGCCGCGUGAGUGAUGAAGGUCUUCGGAUCGUAAAACUCUGUUAUUAGGGAAGAACAAAUGUGUAAGUAACUAUGCACGUCUUGACGGUACCUAAUCAGAAAGCCACGGCUAACUACGUG